ensembl:misc_RNA 7SK 7SK RNA
UCCUUCCUAAACUUGCAUGAUUGGUGGAAGAGGGUGCCCAUCCAAGUAGAGGAGGGAGGAAUGUUCUGUCGAGGGCAUGUGAGGAGCUGUGUUUCCCUGUUGGAACCUCCGAAUCAACUCUAUUUGUAGAAGAACAUGCACAGGC